ACGAACGCUGGCGGCGUGCCUAAUACAUGCAAGUAGAACGCACAGUUUAUACCGUAGCUUGCUACACCAUAGACUGUGAGUUGCGAACGGGUGAGUAACGCGUAGGUAACCUGCCUGGUAGCGGGGGAUAACUAUUGGAAACGAUAGCUAAUACCGCAUAAUAUUGAUUAUUGCAUGAUAAUUGAUUGAAAGAUGCUAUUGCAUCACUACCAGAUGGACCUGCGUUGUAUUAGCUAGUAGGUGAGGUAACGGCUCACCUAGGCGACGAUACAUAGCCGACCUGAGAGGGUGAUCGGCCACACUGGGACUGAGACACGGCCCAGACUCCUACGGGAGGCAGCAGUAGGGAAUCUUCGGCAAUGGACGAAAAGUCUGACCGAGCAAACGCCGCGUGAGUGAAGAAAGGUUUUCGGAUUCGUAAAAGCUUCUGUU
rnacentral:rRNA from 1 species